AAGUGAAAAAGGCAAACUAUGGGAAACUAUAGGACGCAAAGCCAUGGGCCUGUAUCAUGUUAACUAGUUAACGUGAAUGGUAGCCGGUUACCACA
rnacentral:ncRNA from 1 species